AUGUCUCCUUGAAGGAAGAGUAUAAGGAGUCUGGCCUGCCCGGUGACAUGGUUUAACGGCUGCAGUAUCCUGACUGUGCAAAGGUAGCAUAAUAACUUGCCUUUUAAUUGGAGGAUGGAAUCAAUGGCUUGACGAGAGCAAAGCUGUCUUUUUUGUUUUUAUUAAAACUUAUCUUUUAAGUUAAAAGGCUUAAAUAUAACUAAAAGACGAUAAGACCCUAUUGAGCUUUAAAGAAAUAAGGUGCUUAUUCAUUAUUAACAAGAUUGGUAAUAAAUUUAAAAAAUUUUGGUUGGGGCGACCGCGGAAUAUGCAAAACUUCCGUAUUUAAGAAUUAAUUUCUAUUUUUGAUCCACAUUUUGUGAUAAAUGGAAUUAGUUACCAUAGGGAUAACAGCGCACUAUUUUUAGGAAGAUCAUAUUUCUAAGAAAGAUCGCGACCUCGAUGUUGGAUUAAGGUAUACUGAAAGGCGCAGAAGUUUUUUAAGUUAGUCUGUUCGACUAUUAAAUCCUU
rnacentral:rRNA from 1 species